rnacentral:tRNA from 1 species
GGCCGGUUAGCUCAGUCAGUUGAGCAUAGUGCUAACAACGCUAAGGUCGCGGGUUCAAUUCCUGUUCGGUCC